CAGCCGCCGCGGGAAUACGGAGGGUGCAAGCGUUAUCCGGAUUUAUUGGGUUUAAAGGGUCCGUAGGCGGAUCUGUAAGUCAGUGGUGAAAUCUCACAGCUUAACUGUGAAACUGCCAUUGAUACUGCAGGUCUUGAGUAAAUUUGAAGUGGCUGGAAUAAGUAGUGUAGCGGUGAAAUGCAUAGAUAUUACUUAGAACACCAAUUGCGAAGGCAGGUCACUAAGAUUUAACUGACGCUGAUGGACGAAAGCGUGGGGAGCGAACAGGAUUAGAUACCCGAGUAGUCCCUGUCUUUUAUAC
rnacentral:rRNA from 1 species